AAAAAUUAAAAGAGACUUGUAAAUAAAGUUCCCAUAAACUUAUAAAAAAUCUGAUUUGAUUUGUCUGUAACCAUGGCAAGAAGUAACUAUCAGAACUGUUUACACUAGAACCGGGGAUUUAGGUCACUGGCGUAAGUGUCUGCCUGGCAAGCACAAGGUCCUGAGUUUGAUCCCCAGUACAGCAAAAAAAAAAAAAAAAUUGUUUACACUUGUUGAGUCAUUUAAUAACUUACCAAAGUGAACAUUUUCCCAUCAGUGUCAGCCUGGCUGCUGAGUGCCAACCAGUCAGCACAGUCUUAUCGGAGUAGCCAUCUGCUGUAGAGACGUCUAUCUACUUACAUCUCUGAAAACUCACCAAACCCUGAACGUCACCUUCCACCAAAAUCAUACAAGAAAUCUUGUUCGUGGCCUGGCUCCUUUCAUCAUGACAGGAUAACUGCCAGAUGCUUCUGUGUUUGAGUCCAACAAAAGAAAGAAAACCUUUCCACCUUUCACAGUGAAAAGCUUCCUCCAUUUCUGUCUGAUUAGACCAACUUACAGACUGACAGCAAUCAUCUGGAUGAAAUGGUGUAUAGAUUAGCAUAAUCCUUGGCUCCUGCACAAAUUGCAGUCAAGAGAGAUCAUAUAAUUAUGCCUAAACCUGCCUCAAAAACAUAAUCCUCCUGCCUCAGCCUCCUGAGUAGCUGAGAUUAUAGACGUGUGCCCCUACACGAAGCAUAAAUUGAUUACAUUGAAAUUGGAUUAAACUAAUUGGGAUCAACUCUAGAAGUGGAGAUAGAAUUACUUUCUUCUAAAUCAUCUGGACUCAGAGGAAAAGUAGAUACUGGAACAAAAUUAAAUUCUCUAGAAAAGAAGAAGGGAGAAAUGGUCACUGGGAAAGCUGCCAGCCAUACUCAGUGAGCUAUUGGACCUUUCCUUCCACAGGUUUGCCCAUCGCCAUCUUCUACUGAAGAUCUUUAGGAGACUAAGUCUCUCUCCAGACCAGGUGGCCAGCUGCAUGUUAGCUCUUCUAUACCCACAAACAUUCACAAACAUUUCAACCUGUUACUCUUCCUAUAUUUUCUCUUCCUUGUUUCCUCUCUUUUCUUUUUCUUUUUUUUUUUUAAACUACUGCUGGGGAUUAAAUUUAGGGCCUUCAUACUGAACUACAUCCCUAGACCUUUUUAUUAUUUAAGUUUUGAGACUGAGUCUGGCUAUGUCACUACACUGCCAAGAUGGGGCUUGAAUUGUGGAAUCGCAAGUGUGUAGCACCAGCUGCCUUUCAUUCUUUCCAUCCUGGAGCUCAAACCCAAGGCUUGUGCAUGCUCGGCAAUUGCUCUACCACUGAGCUCCUUUCUGUAUUUUCUAAUGCUGUAUGUGAUGCAUAUUACCAUACAUCUAUCCAUCCAUUCUUCCACAUAACCUCCCGACACUUAACUCCCUGAGCAAAUAAACUAGUGGUCAUUCUCUCUUUCCUUUCUUCUUUUUUCUUACUGGUACUGGAGAGCAAACCUAGAGGCUUGUGCUUUUUUUUUUUUUGGUCUUUUUCGUUUUUAUCGGUACCAGCGAUUGAACUCACGACUACACACUUGUAAGGCAGGCGCUUAUGCCACUGAGCUAAAUCCCCAGCCCCAAGCCUUGUGCAUGUUAAGCGAACUACUCUCUCAGCUCUCCUUCCUUUUUAAUGCCGGUCCAUCUCCGGUCAUGUGAUUCUCCUUCCUGAAUAUAAUUCACACUCCUUCUCUUCUCUACUUUCUACAUCAGCCUCUGUUUAUAAAAACUUACUAUUUGCUAUUCCUCCUCCAUUCUAAACCCUCUCAAAUGGUCUUUUAUAUAUUAUCAACAGAGGCGACUCUAAAAAAUCAAUCUGAUUCCAUCACUCCUUAAAAGAUUUUGAUGACUUCUCACCUACAGGAUAAAAUCCAAGCUGAUUUGCCGGGCUAAGGUCCUCAUAACCUCACACUUGGCUUCUCCUCCCAUCCCUCCUGCUCUUGCUUGGGGUGCACACAGAGUCAUGCUAACCAUGCUGACUGGCUUGAAUUUUCCCAGGCACUGCAUGACUCAGGUCCCUCAACACAGUACUGAAGCUGAACUCACAGCUUUCAUACUGAGCUACAUCUCCGGCCUUUUAGUUUUUAUUUUGAGACAAAGUCUUUCUAAGUCACUAAAUUGACCAGGAUAGGCCCAAAAUUGUAAUCCUCCUGCCUCAAUCUUCCAGAGUGCAGUGAUUACAGGUGUGUGCCACCAUGUCUACCCAUGUCUUUUUUUUUUCUUUUCUCAAAAUGCAUUUUAUUUCAAGGAGAAAAAGAGAAAAAAGAAGAAAAACCCCAAAACUAAAUUUCAAAAUACAUCAAUCAGGGCUGCCCUCAUGUCUUUAAUAGAAUUGUUCCGUCCACCUGACAUGCCAUUUCCCUGGGCAAAUGUCUAGUACUUUUUCAGAAUCAAUUCCAAAAGUCAUCUCUGUGAUCAUCACAAGUAAAAUUAAAUACUUCAUCCUUUGA